rnacentral:rRNA from 1 species
AGAGUUUGAUCCUGGCUCAGAUUGAACGCUGGCGGCAUGCCUUACACAUGCAAGUCGAACGGUAACAGGUCUUCGGAUGCUGACGAGUGGCGAACGGGUGAGUAAUACAUCGGAACGUGCCCGAUCGUGGGGGAUAACGGAGCGAAAGCUUUGCUAAUACCGCAUACGAUCUACGGAUGAAAGCAGGGGACCGCAAGGCCUUGCGCGGACGGAGCGGCCGAUGGCAGAUUAGGUAGUUGGUGGGAUAAAAGCUUACCAAGCCGACGAUCUGUAGCUGGUCUGAGAGGACGACCAGCCACACUGGGACUGAGACACGGCCCAGACUCCUACGGGAGGCAGCAGUGAGGAAUAUUGCGCAAUGGGGGCAACCCUGACGCAGCGACGCCGCGUGAGUGAGGAAGGCCUUCGGGUCGUAAAGCUCUGUCAAAGGGGAAGAAGUGCAUGGUGGUUAAUAUCUGUCAUGUUUGACGGUACCCUUAAAGGAAGCACCGGCUAACUCCGUGCCAGCAGCCGCGGUAAUA